rfam:Merops nubicus contig21114, whole genome shotgun sequence.
CACCAGGCCCUACUCAGGGCCACUAACACAUUCGCCUCCAAGACCU